GUGUUUUUUCAGGAGUUUCAGUUCCGUUCUUCAGCACAGAGACGGAGGCAGUAUUAGCAUUAGCCGCUAAGCGCUAUUUCCCCAUUCAGAGUAAUGAACCAGCAGAACAUAAAAACAGCCACCAGACCGUUCCAGAUUAUACAGAAGACAUCCAGUCCUGGACAACAGGGCAGGCAGCAGAGCAGGGCAGGACCAAUACAAAACACUCCACACACCACCAGGACCUGGAUGGGUCCACUGGGAUCCUGAGAAAGUCCUCUGGCUGUUUGAUGUGCGGGAAGCUGUAGAGGUGGUUGAUGGCGAG